AUGAAUGAAAGGCUAUUCAUUUUUCUAGAAUAUUUGUCAGUCCAGGAAAAUCACCAGGGUACCCUCUGUCCCAAUCAGAAGUCCCACUUCUCCGGCCAAGGGGCUAAGAUCCCUGGGUCCCUGAAGAGGAAAUAUACCAUGUAUGCACCGCAAAACCAUGCAGGAGGGACGAAGGAGCCAGCCUCUGGGGAGUCCCUUGUUAACACCUGUGUCCUUCUGAGGCAGAAGUCUAGGGGUGGAACAUCUCUCAACAUCACACCAGAGGGGGAAAGCUCCCAGAGCUCAUUUUCCAGCUGAUGAGAGCAAGAGAGAGGGCAGGAGGGGGCAGAAGACUCUCGGCUUAGGGAGAAAUUAAAUUCCACCUAAACAAAUGGGACCGGACAAGCCUGGCUGCUGCCAUUGAAGGCAGAGCCCCUAGCUGACCUGAAGUCCCUGUGGAAAUGUGAUGGAGACCCCGGAGAGGGAAAAGCCCAAGGCCUGUGACUCAAACAGCAGCAUGAACCCUGAUAACAACAGCUGACCCUGAGCCAACCACAUGGCCCAGGCACAAGACUAUUCAGGUAUCACCCACUGAGGCUCCAACAGCCCCUAGUGGUCAAGACAGCCAUUGCUCCCAUCCCACAAGCACGGGCAUAGCCAGGACAAAAGUUUGCCUACUUUCCCAUGCCUGGGACCAUGCAGGGGCCAGGACUAGGCCAGGCAGCCUGGCACUAGUUUGUGUGCUGAGAUCUGGAAGAUGCCACAACUCUACACAGACUCCUGGAGCCUCAGCUGCCUCACCUAGAACAUGGAGCCAAUAACAGUUGUUGCCAUGGAGGGCUGCUGUUAGGACUCAAUGAAAGAAACAACAGUUAAAAAUAAUUUCAAAUAGAAGUAGUAUUCCUUUGAGCUGUGGACAUGGCCAAACUGCUUAGAUUGCUUGGCUAGUGUAUUUGAAGCCUUGGGUUUGAUUCUAGCACCACAUAAACCAGGCAUGUGUGCACAGCUGUAACCCUAGCACUUUGGAGGUGGAGACGGGGCAAGAAGUUCAAGGCCAUCCUCAGCUAUAGCUUCAGUGAAUUUGAGACCAGCCUGGAAUACUUGAGACUCUC
rnacentral:lncRNA from 1 species